GAUGAACGCUGGCGGCGUGCUUAACACAUGCAAGUCGAACGGUGAAGGAGGAGCUUGCUCUUCUGGAUCAGUGGCGAACGGGUGAGUAACACGUGAGCAAUCUGCCCUUGACUCUGGGAUAACAGUUGGAAACAGCUGCUAAUACCGGAUACGAGACGUGACCGCAUGGUCAACGUCUGGAAAGAACUUCGGUCAAGGAUGAGCUCACGGCCUAUCAGCUAGUUGGUGAGGUAAUGGCUCACCAAGGCGACGACGGGUAGCCGGCCUGAGAGGGUGACCGGCCACACUGGGACUGAGACACGGCCCAGACUCCUACGGGAGGCAGCAGUGGGGAAUAUUGCACAAUGGGCGAAAGCCUGAUGCAGCAACGCCGCGUGAGGGACGACGGCCUUCGGUUGGUAACUAGCUUUGUACUAGAACGAAAAGUACUUAAUAACACUAGAGGCGUCAUGACGGUACUGUAAGAAUAAGACACCGGCUAACUACGUAGCC
rnacentral:rRNA from 1 species